rnacentral:lncRNA from 1 species
AGGCUGAGGUCAGUCCCCUUUCGCCAUGUGUUUUGGGAAUACUGGACCUAGGGAAGGACAGAAAUUGCUUUUCCCUCAAUUUUCGCUUAAUCUUCCCUUUAGCCCUUUAACGGUACUUACCAUUUUGCUCUUUUGUGGCCCGGACCAGGACUGGAACCGGCCAAGUCUUUGGUUCUUUUUUUGAAGCGGGUCUCUGUGAUCUCUUCGUUGAGACACGCCCUUCCCAAGCCUCCUAGGGAAAGCUUAAGGGAAGGAAACAGGCGUCUACAGCCCCCACUCCCAUUGAACUCAGUUCUCCAGAACGUCUUUCACCUCUUCUCCCUCCCUUUCAUUCAUUCUUUUAACAAAUAUUUACUGAGCAGGCUUUGUGCUCUGUGCUGGAGACAGAGCAAGCAUGAGACAGACGUGCCUUGCUGUCUUGGAGUUUACAGUCUGGUACGAGAAAGAACAAAGUAAAUAGGCCUUUGUCAUCUCUCCUUUACCCUUACUUAGCUGAAUGCUACAGACUUCUAACUCACCACCCUACCCUCAGCCCUGCCCCCAUCAACUGCCAAAGUGAUCUUUAAGAAAUGCCAUUCUUAUCUUCCCUUUCUUGCUUAAAUCCUUUGGUGGUUACUCAGACCUGGAAGACUGUUGAUAAGCGCCUUGAGUAUGACAGGUGACAGUCAAGGUUCUCCCUUUCCCUGCUCUUUCCCCUCCAUGAUAAAACCCCAUUUCAGCGGGAUAAUGCCCUAUCCUCCCAAUAUGCCAGCUCCAGUAUUUGUAAACCAUUUGUGUUAGUUGCCAACAUUUUUUAAAGACAGACAUUUCCGUGUGAACAGAAAUCUGCAUCAGUACUCCAUCUGGCAGGACUGCGUUCACAUUCCUGUGUGGCAACAAUGGGCUGAAGCCAAGGAGUGGCUGUCCAUUCUAGGUCAGAGACUUUUCAAAGUGCCAGGGUCCCCUCCGGACCUGAGUCUGCUUUUCUCAUUUAUGUAUCUGCAUGUAGGCAUUUGUGCCAGUGACCCCUACACUUUUAAUAUGAGCAAGAUUGAAAGAGAGUGUUGUGUAAUGUAAACAGCACGGAUUUGAUGUUAAAACCGCAGGAUUUGAACCCCAGAAGAGUUUCCAGUGCAAAAACUUCUCCAUGGGGAUCCAUCUUUGGCAAACCAAAAAAAGAUCAGUAAUCUAGAGAUUGGCUCAGGUUGAAAUAAUGCAAUGUAAUGUGACUGUGGCUUCUGCCCCCAGCCAGAAAAUGCCUUAGUGGGGCAGAGGGCUCAUGAUAAUUAUACCCAAAUGACGUCAUCAGUGCGUUGAGGGAACCGAAGUGCCUUUUGCCAGGCACCCCUGAGUGUCUGCUAACAGGUUGCAUGGAUUCCCUGCUUUCAUCAUCUCUGCAUUCUAGGCCAGAGGUCAACAAACCACAGCUAUUGACAGACACAAACAGAUACUGAAAUACAAUGUGGCAGAUGAAGCCCAGGAUAUUUUGGGAGCCUGAGAGAAAGGCACAAUCCAUCUUGGGUUGGUGGGAGAGCAGGAAAGACUUUUUGAAAGGGAAGAUACUUGAGCCUCAGAUUCUGUAAAGGAUUUUUUUUUAAAUUAAUAGGCUAUUGGUGUAGAGCAGUUUCAGGUUCACAGAAAGAUUAAAAAGGACAGUGUUCCCAUACACCCAAUCUCUGCCCCUCCCCAUUUCCCCUAACAUUAACAAGCUAGUGUUGCACAUUAGUUACAAUCAAUGUACCAAUAUUGAUAUGUUAUUAAUGCAAUAGUUUACAUUAGGGCUCAUUUAUUUUGUACAGUUGAAUUAAUUUUGACAAAUGCAGAUAUCUGUAUCUACCAUUGCUAUCUCCUACAGAACAGUUUCACUGCCUUAAACCCCCCUGUGCCGGGGCACCCGUGUGGCUCAGGCGAUCAAGAGUCCUUCUGACUUGAUUUUGGCUCGGGUCAUGAUCUCACAGUUUGUGACUUCAACCCCAGUGUCAGGCGUUUGCACUAAUGACAUAGAGCCUGCUUGGGAUUCUGUGUUUCCCUCUCUCUCUGCCUCUCCCCUGUGUGCUCUCUCUUUUCUGUCUCUCAAAAACCAACCAACAAACAAACAAACAUUAAAAAAACAAAAAACUCCCCUGUGCCUUAUGCCCAGUGGGCCAGCCAGAGAAGAUGCUGAACAGGAGGCAGAAUUGCACCUUGUUUUGUUCCUUCCUGUCCCUAGAGGGCCUGUACUCUCUCUGCUCUUUCCAGUAAAUAACAUUUAGGCUAAAACAAAAAAAAUUUUAAAAGACAAAAGAAACCCUACAAAAACCCAACUAUUCACUUACUUGACCCUCAUCCCCCGCCCUCACCCCAAUUCCUUGGCAAUCACUUCUCUUUUAUGCUUUGUUUUAAUUUUGCCUUUUCCAGAUGUCAUAUCAUUAGAAUCCUAAGAGUGUCACCUUUCCUGACUGGACUCUUGCACUAAGCAAUAUGAUUUAAGGUCCCUCUAUGUCGUUUUAUGGCUUGAUGGUUCAUUUCUUUUUAUCACGGAGUAAUACGCCAUUGUAUGAACAUACCACAUUUUUUCCAUUCACCUGCUUAUGGAUUGACUUGUGUCUUUUAUUUUAUUUUUAAUUUUUUUAAUGUUUAUUUAUUUUUCAGAGGGAGAGAGAGACAGUGUGUGAGCAGGGGAGGGGCAGAAAGAGAGGGAGACACAGAAUGUGAGGCAGGCUCCAGGCUCUGAGCUGUCAUCACAGAGCCUGACACGGGGCUUAAAGUCAAGAGCUGUGACAUCAUGGCCUGAGCCAAAGUCGGACACCCAACGAACCAAGCUGCCUAGGUGCCCCCUUUUUAAAAAAAAAAAACAACUUUUUUUAAUGUUUAUUUUUUGAGAGAGAUAGCAGGAGUGGGGGAGGGAGAGAGAGAGAAUGGGACAGAGGAUCUGAAGCAGGCUCUGCACUGACAACAGAAAGCCCAAUGCAGGGCUGGAAACCACAAACUAUGAGAUCAUGACCUGAGCCAAAGGCAGAUGCUUAACCCACUGAGCCACCCAGGUACCCCUCAACUCCUAUCUUCCAAAAAGAAAUGCAGAAGUCCUAGUCCCUGGUACCUAUGAACUGUGGCCUUAUCUGGACAAGCCUUUGCAGGUGUAAUCUAGUUAAGAUGAAGUCAUCAGGGUGGACUUUAAUCCAAUAUGACGGAUGUCCUUCUAAAAAGAGGAACAGGCCAUGUGAUGACAGCGAUUGGGGUGAGGCAGCCACAAGCCAAGGAACACCAAGGACUUGUAACCACUGCCUGACACUAGGAAGAGGCAGGAAGGGAUUUACCCAGAGUCCCAGGUAAGCAUGGCCCUGCUGACACCAGGUUUUCAGACUUCUAACCUGUAGAACUGUGAGAGAAUAAAUUUGGUUGUUUGAAGCCAUCCACUUUGUGGGGCUUUGUUACAGCAGCCUUAGCAAACAGAUACACCUACUGAGGGACAGAGAUCUUUUUUUUUUUAAUUUUUUUUUUCAACGUUUUUUAUUUAUUUUUGGGACAGAGAGAGACAGAGCAUGAACGGGGGAGGGGCAGAGAGAGAGGGAGACACAGAAUCGGAAACAGGCUCCAGGCUCCGAGCCAUCAGCCCAGAGCCUGACGCGGGGCUCGAACUCACGGACCGUGAGAUCGUGACCUGGCUGAAGUCGGACGCUUAACUGACUGCGCCACCCAGGCGCCCCCAGAGAUCUUGAUUCAGUUUCCAACAGUCGAGAAUAAAACUGCUAUAAACCAGGGCCCCUGGGUGGCUCAGUCAGUCAAGCAUCUGACUCUUGGUUUUGGCUCAGGGCAUGAUCUGAGGUCGAGUCCCGCACUGAGAGAGUGGGGAGCCUGCUUGGGAUUCUCUCUCUCCCUCUCUCUCUCUGCUCCUCUCCUUCUCUCAAAAUAAAUAAGCUUUAAAAAAAAAGAGAGAGAGAGAAGAAAAAAUGCUAUAAACCUCCUUGUGCGGGUGUUUGUGUGGACGUAAGUUUUCAGCUCAUUUGGGUGAAUACCGGGAGUACAAUUGCUAAAUCACAUGUUAAACCUAUGUUUAGCUUUGUAAAAUAUUAUCAACCAUCUUCCAAAGUGGCUGUACCAUUUUCAAUUUCCACCAGUAGUGAAAGAGAGUGCCUGAUGCUUCAUAUCCAUGUCAGCAUUUGGUAUUGUUAGGUCUUGUUGUUUUUGUUUUGUUUUGUUUUUUAUUUCAGCCAUUCUUACAUGGAUGUACAGAGUAAGAACCUAGUUUGUUUCUCCAAAGUUUCUUUUUGUUCCUAUUACUCUGAAAUUUCAUGGUUAACAGCCUUGAGACACCCAGUGGCUUGCCUGCCUGCCUGCCUUCCUUCCUUCCUUCCUUCCUUCUUCCCUUCCUUCCUUCCUCCUCUUCCCUUCCCCACCCUUCCUUUUCUUUCCUUUUUCCCUCCAUCCAUCCUCUCUUCCUUUCUUUCACUUUUUAUUAUGACAAUUUUCAAGCAAACACAAAAGUUGAGAGAGUAGUACAAUAAUCUCCAUAUACCCAUCACCCAGCUUUAUUUUACUCUUCAGUCUAUCCUUCUUACUAUUAGCAGGAUUUUAUAGCAAGUCCCAGAUACUACACCCUUGCCUUUGUAGAUACCUUAGUAUGUAGUUCUAACAGAUGAGAAUUUAAAAAUGAAUAAUGAAAUAACAAUUCCAUGAUCACACUUCAGGAAAUUAACACACACACAGUCCAUGUUUGAUAUUCCCUCAUUGUCUCAAAAAUGACUUCUUUUACACUGGCCUACUUAAGUCCAGAUUCAAGGUCUACCCAUUGCAUUUAGUUGCUAAUUGUCAUUGAAUCUGUAACAAUUACUCCUCCUCCUUUUUUUUCUUUCUUUCUUUUUUCUUUUUUUUCUUUUUACAAUUGAUUUGUUGAAGAAACUGGGUAAAUUAUCUUGUAGAAUGUCUCACAGUCUGAAUUUGUCUGAUUGGACCUUUGUGGUGUUUUUAAAAUGUGAUACAAUACCUUGAAUGUCCUGUAUUAGAUUCCAGUUCAAUUUUUGACAGAAUAUUUUACAGGUGGGGUUAUGUAUUUCCUAUUGCAUCAUAUGAAGAGGUACAUAAUGUCUAAUUAUUUCUCAAUGAUCUCUUUCCAUUUGAAACCCCAUUUCCUUCAGCUCUGGGAUUUUUUUUUUUAAUGUUUAUUUAUUUUGAAAGAGAGAGAGAGUGUGAGCAGGAGAGGGACAGAAAGAAUCCUAAGCAAGCUCCGCACUGUCAGCACAGGGUCCGAUGAGGGGCUUGAUCUCACAACCAGUGAGGUCAUGACCUGAGCCAAAACCAAUGGUUGGUCACUCAGCUGACUAAGCCAGCCAGAUGCCCCCAGCUCUGGGAUAUUUUUGUGAAUUCUUUCUUUGGUGAUGUCUUUCCUCCAUCUCCCUAUUUUCUGUGUCUUCACUUUCUGGAACUCCUAAUGAUUCAGAUAGCUGAACUCUUGGAAUGAUUUUCUAAUAUUGUUUUUUUUCCCUCUCUUAUUUUUCUUUAGUGUUUGUGUAUUUGGGUCUACUUUCUGAAUAUCAUCUUCCAACCUGUAUUUAGUCAGAAUUUUUUGUAGGAGACAGGCAGAAACCACUCUAAAUAUUUUAAGCAGAAAGGAAUUUAAUAUCGGAAAUUAGGUGCUUGUAGACUCAUUGAGAGAUCUGGCAUUUCCAACUUGGGGAGGGCAGGGGUGGGAUGACAGGGAGGGAAGGGACAACUCUUGUUUCAAAGUCAUCACAGCUGUGAUUGAGAGGUCAGGGUUGUUACAGCUACUCCUGCUGCCACCGUAACUUCCUGACCAUGUGAAGCUGGGGACUGGGCACUGGAUGGUAGAGGCUGGCCAUUGACAUUUGUUUCAAAAGUAGAGCUCAAGGAUCAGAGAGCUGUUGUCUGGCUUGAAUAAGAAAUUGAAAUUGUGGGGUAGUCUACGACAUGUCAACUCACAUGAGGUCUUUGAUAUCCAUCCACCCCGUUUUGGCUUUUGUUUUAAUGGAACCAAGGCUGAAUUCCGGACUUAGAUCUAUAGGUGUAAUCAGAAACAGAGCUCCCAUGGCUCUCACGAAGAGCCACAUAAGAGUUGACUGUGCCAGGAGACUAGAGUUCUGAAUUGAAUUUUGGUCAUAUAAUCACCUUUGCUCUCAUAUAAAUAAGGUCACUGGAAAGGCAGGCAUCAUUAACCUAAAAAAAAAAAAAUUAUGAGUCUAUUUCAAUUUCACGAUAACUGAACCAGAAAUAAGUUUCACAGCGUGUGUAGGUUUUGCAGAUUUCUACCUGCAGGGAAAGUGGCAAGGCAUGUCAUGCUGCAGUACUUUCUCUAGCCUUGGGAAGUUCACAGAGCUAUCCGCCUUCAGUCUGUUUCUUCAGAGUGCCAGCUGGGCAACAAGAACCAUUAAUUUGUUGGGUGUUUGUGCGUGUAUUUUAAGAAUGAUAUUUUUUUUAGCCCUGAAUUUUAAGAAAACACCUGCUGUAUUCAUUUUCAAUCAUGUAUUUUUAUUACAUGGUGAUGCAUGGAUAUGCUUCCAUUGUAAGAAAAUUAAAAUAUUAAAGAUUAAAAGUGAAAGUCCCCUGUGAUCACCACCCUCAGUGCCAUUUCGCCUCCCCAGAAAGUAACCAAGUAGCAAUUAUAUAGCAGCUUGCAUUAGUCACGGUAGGUCAGGUUAUGCUGCAGUAAUAAACAUCCUUAAAAAUCUUAGUGCCUUACAACAACAAAGGUUUAUUUCUCGAUCCUUACAUGUUUGUCAUGGGUUGGCUUCAGCCGUUUUCUCUGGACAUAAGUGAAGAAGCAGCCAGGAUGUGCCUAUCUCAUGGCAGAGGGAGAAGAAAGAAUGGUAGAAGCUUUUAAAGCUUCUGCUUGGAAGUAUCCUGUCAUGUUCACUCACAUUUCCAUGGUCAAAGCAAAUCGUAUGGCCAAACCUGACUUCAGUAGGGUGGGGAUGUGUAGUCCUGCUACAGGGCGGGGCAGUGACAAUUUUCCUGUGGUUUUAUAGGGUUCAUAAAACUAUACGAAUAGGUAUCAUUUUAAUAUAAUUUAUUAUGGUACUGAGCCUUACUUUCUGCGUGCAAAAAUAUGUCUUAGAAGUCUUCCUGUGUUAGGCAAAUAGAUCCAUCUCCUUUUUAUUUUAUUUUAUUUUAUUUUUAAUUUUUUUUUUUUAAUUUUUUUUUCAACGUUUAUUUAUUUUUGGGACAGAGAGAGACAGAGCAUGAACGGGGGAGGGGCAGAGAGAGAGGGAGACACAGAAUCGGAAACAGGCUCCAGGCUCUGAGCCAUCAGCCCAGAGCCUGACGCGGGGCUCGAACUCACGGACCGCGAGAUCGUGACCUGGCUGAAGUCGGACGCUUAACCGACUGCGCCACCCAGGCGCCCCGAUCCAUCUCCUUUUUAAACAGUUGUAUGAUAUGUCAUAAUAUGGGUGUACUAUAGUUAUUUAGCAGCUUCCUUGUUUGAAAAUGUUUAAAUUGUCUCUAAUUUUUUUUUUCAAAAAAUUUUUUUUCAACGUUUUUAUUUAUUUUUGGGACAGAGAGAGACGGAGCAUGAAUUGGGGAGGGGCAGAGAGAGAGGGAGACACAGAAUCGGAAACAGGCUCCAGGCUCUGAGCCAUCAGCCCAGAGCCUGACGCGGGGCUCGAACUCACGGACCGCGAGAUCGUGACCUGGCUGAAGUCGGACGCUUAACCGACUGCGCCACCCAGGCACCCCUCUAAUUUUUUAUAUAUGUGCAAGUUUUUGUCUAGAGCGGGUACAGAGAAGUGGAUGUUCUAUGCCAGUUUUCUCUCUGUAUCCUAAUAUGGCACACUCAUAGGAGAAUUCCAAAGAGAGUUUAAUAAAGAAGGACUGUUUACAAAGAACAGCACAGUACCCCCGGGGCUGGUAACAAUUGGGCUAUCACCACUCCUGGGCCAGCAGGAGCAAAGUGAGAGAGCGGGGAGGAGAACAGGGAGGAGAGUCGUGUGAAGAGAUGGGUGAAGCCAGCCCAAUAUGGACCCACAAAGAAGGGGUGAAGGGAAUAAAUGCCUCAAAUCACUCUUUUCCCUCUGAUCUUCUACUGGGCUGACCUGAACCAGAUGACAGAGGGCCAGGUAAUCUGUUGUUGUAGCCGAUGCACGCCUGUCCCCUAGGACACAGAAGAGGAAGAGAGGACAGAGAGCCAAUCUGGAGGACCAAAUAGAAGAUACCCACACCAUUCUCCUACCCACAGUACAGGAAUGACUUAAUUGUUUGCCAGUAUCAUAAGCAAAAAAUAGUACUUAAAAGUGCAUUUUGGGGGCACCUGUCUGGCUCAGUUGGUAGAGCAUGUGACUCGUGAUCUCAGAGUUGUGAGUUUAAGUCCCACGUUGGAUGCAGAUUAAUUUUUUUUAAAGUGCAUUUUUUAAUAUAUAUUUUUUUUAUUUUAAAAAGUGGUGUAGCCACCUGGAAAACAUUAUGGAGAUUCCUCAAAAAAUUAAAAAUAGAACUGCCCUACGACCCAAUAAUUGUGCUACUAGGUAUUUAUCCAAGGGAUACAGAUGUGCUGUUUCGAAGGGACACAUGUACCCCAAUGUUUAUAGCAGCACUAUCAACAAUAGCCAAAGUAUAGAAAGAGCCCAAAUGUCCAUAGUUGAAUGAAUAGAUAAAGAAGAUGUGGUAUACACACACACACACACACACACACACACACACACACACAAUGGAGUACUACUCAGCAAUCAAAAAGAAUGAAAUCUUGCCAUUUGCAACUAUUUGGGUGGAACUAGAGGGUAUUAUGUUAAGCAAAAUUAGUCAGAGAAAGACAAAUAUCAUGUGACUUCACUCAUAUGAGGACUUUAAGAUACAAAACAGAUGAACAUAAGGGAAGCAAAAAGAAUAUAAAAACAGGGAGGGGGACAAAACAGAAGAGACUCAUAAAUAUGGAGAACAAACAGAGGGUUACUGGAGGGGUUGUGGGAGGGGGUAUGGGCUAAAGGGGUAAGGGGCACUAAGGAAUCUACUCCUGAAAUCAUUGUUGCACUAUAUCCUAACUAACUUGGAUGUAAAUUUAAAAAAUAAAUGGAAUAAAAAAAUAGAAUAAAAAAAUAAAAAGUGCAUUUUUUAAAUGUUUAUUUAUUUUUGAGAUAGAGGGAGACAGCGAGAGGGGGAGGGGCAGAGAGAGAGAGGGAGACACAGAAUCUGAAGCAGGCUCCAGGCUCUGAGCUGUCAGCACAGAGCCCAAUGCAGGGCUCAAACUCACGAACAGUGAGAUCAUGACCUAAGCCAGAGUCGGACCCUUCACUGAUUGAGCCACCAGGCCCCCCGAUUUUAAAAAGUGCAUUUUUAGUUUGCAUUGCCCUAAUUAUUAGCAAGGACUCGUGCUGAUAAUUCAGGGACACAGAUGAUCUCUUCUUCCCUGGACUCUGUGAUGGGUACAUGUAAAGCCAGAGACUGCUUCAGCCGUUGUGUAAUCGUUUCUGGGCCAGUGGGGAGGAAAAGCCGAGAAAUGGAUGUGGUGGCAUCUUUUGAGUCCUGGAUCAAGCCUUACCUGAGGCUACACAUGAGUAUUUGGUAACAUGAGCCUUUUGCUUCAGACAGUUUUGUUGUUGGUGUGAUGUGUGUGUAUGUGUUGGUCACUCAUAACUGAAAGACCUCCAACUGAUGUAUUCUUUGUAUAUUGUACCAUGCUUCGUAUGUGUUUUGUGCAUAUAAAUUUAGGGCUGAAUGAGACCUUAGGUAUCAUUUCAUUCAGAUUCUUUCAUUUUCAUUUAUAACUUCAAAAGUUUAGACACAAAAUCCUAAGACAGUAAUGUGACAAAUCUUGUCAGUUUUGCUUCUAAUUUUAUUUUUUUAUUUAUUUAUUUAUUUUCAAAAAUUUUUUAAAUAUUAUUUAUUUUUGAGAGACAGAGAGAGACAGAGCAUGAGCAAGGGCGGGGCAGAGAGAAAGGGAGACACAGAAUCUGGAAGCAGGCUCCAGGCUCCGAGCCAUCAGCACCGAGCCCGACGCGGGUUCAAACUCACGAAUCACGAGAUCACGACCUAGGCUGAAGUCGGACGCUUAACCGACCGAGCCACCCAGGCGCCCCGUAUUUAUUUAUUUGUUUAAUGUUUAUUUUUGAAAGGAGGGGAGGGAGAGAGAGAGAGAGGGAGACAGAGAAUCCAAAGCAGGCUCCUCGUUAUUAGCACAAAGCCCAACUUGGGGCUCGAACUCAAACUCAUGACCUGAGCCGAAGUUGGACUUUCAAUCGACUGAGCCACCCAGGCACCCUGCUUCUAAUUUUAUAGUAAAGAAAUGGAACAUUGUUUUGUGUUUUUUUAAAGAUUUUUUUUAAUGUUUAUUUUGAGAGAGGGAGAGAGAGAGUGGGGGAGGGGCAGAGAGAGAGAGAGAGAGGGAGAGAGAGAAUCCCAAGCAGGCUCCACACUGUCAGCAUGGAGCCUGAUGUGGGACUCAAACUCUUGAAACCGUGAGACCGUGAACUGAGCCGAAAUCAAGAGUCAGAUGCUGAAUAGACUAAGCUACCCAGGCACCCAAGAUAUGGAACAUUGCACAUAAAGUUGAAAUUCCUUUCGUAUCCUUCCCCAUUUUAUUUCCCGGGGGACCCACUGUCAGGAAUUGGUCACAUAUCUUUUCCCACCAUGUUUUAAUAGUUUUAUCACACAUGUGUAUACCCAGGAACAAUAUGUAGAAUUGUUUUGUGGGUUUAAACUUUCUUAUAUCAAUGCCAUCUUGUCAUAUGUAUCACUGUGUACUUUGCUUUUACCACUCAGCAUUAGGGGUUCAAGGCCUGAACAAAGAUAUGGUUCAUUUUCACUGUUGUGAUAGUAUUCCAUUGCCUGAAUAUAUCACAACGUACUUACCUAACUUAUCUCUGUAACACACGUUGAGAUUAUGGGCUGUUUCCUCAAUGCUGCAGCAAACAUACUAGAGCAUCUCCUGGGACACACUUGGGAGAGUGUCUCCAGGGUAUAUGUUUAGAAGUCGAGCUGCUGCAUCACAAGAUAGGCACGUUUUUCAGCUUUACCACAAAUGAUUAAUUUUCAUUGAUGGUACCAAGUUACAGUUCCCCCAGCAUUGUAUGAAAAUCCCUGUUUUCCCAUAUCUACAUCAGCACCUGGAAUUAUUAGGCUUUUUGAUUUUGCCAGUCUGAUUGGUGUGAAAUUGUAUCUACUUGUCUUAAUUUGCAUUUCUCUUUUACUAGUGAAGGUAAGCAUCUUUUCCUAUGUUUAUUGAUGAUUCUGCUUCCUAUUCCAAACUCCUCGGUUUCCCAGUGGAAAGAAAAUGGCAGAUCACACAGUUCAUCAGCAACAGUGCUGGGUUUAGAACUUGGGUGUUCCAACUCCAGUCUGCUCUUUUCUUCCAGCAUGUUGAACCACUUCCAGAUAUACAUUUUUAAUUUUUUUUUUUACAUGUGUUUACUUUUGCAAGACAGAGACAGAGCACAAGCGGGGGAGGGGCAAAGAGAGAAUGAGACACAGAACCCGAAGCAGGCUCUGGGCUCUAAGCUGUCAGCACAGAGCCUGAUGCAGGGCUCAAACUCACAGACCACGAGAUCACGACCUGAACCAAAGUCAGACGCUUAACUGACUGAGCCACCCAGGUGCCCCCAGAUAUACAUUUUUAGAGUGCUAUUGUUUCUACUAACAGUUACAACAGAGAAAAGAUCUUUUUCCUUCUAAUUAAAUGUUGGGACUAUGAAUUGUCAAUAGUUGGAUGCUGUUUCAGUUAGGGUUAGGUUUGUCUGAAUAAAAGAGAUGCCAGGCUCAGGUCACGAUCUUGCAAUUCAUGAGUUCGAGCCCUGCGUCAGGCUCUGUGCUGACAGCUCAGCCUGGAGCCUGCUUCGGAUUCUGUGUCUCCCUUUCUCUCUGCCCCUCCCCCACUCAAGCUUUGUCUCUCUCUCAAAAAUAAACAUUAAAAAAAAAAGUUGGAGACAAGAAGUUUGGCAUUGCUUUGUGCCAUGAAGUCUUCUAGGACUUAGGCACCUUUACUCUUGUUGCUUCAUUGCACAUAGCUGCUAUUUCCAAGCUCACCUCAUGUUCCAAAAUAGCUGCUCCAACUCCUGACAUUAUGUCUGCAUCCAAGCCAAAAGGAAAAGAGUCAGAGACCCCAGGGGGAUGGUGGAGGUAUUGGGUGCAACACAGCUGUCUCUUGAUAAAGGUUCUAGAAUCUGCAACGUGAUUAUCUGAUCUAUAUCUAUUGGUCAAAAGUCAGCUACAUGGCCCUACUUGGCUCUAAGGGAAGCUGGGAAGAUUAGCAUUCAUUUGGGGGACCAUGUACCUAGGUACAAGGGAGAUGAUCUCUAAAUACUACUCAGAUCCCAGGAAUUAUAAAAUCAUCUUUUUGUGGCAGGUGAGUUGGUCCUGCUAAUCUGGGAGGAAUGUCCCUGUCCUGUGACCUCUGUGACCCCUGGCUCUUCUCUCAGGAAAACUCUGCCUUGUCCAAUAUCCUCAUGGCCAUAUCUAGUAGACAUUAGUGUCACCCUUUGGAGGACCUACACAGAUUUUGGAUAGAACUUCUCAUUGCUUUGUAGAAGAAAGAGAGACAUUUAUUAGGGGACAUCUAAUGGUCUCUGCCACAGAUGCUAAGAAAAAUGUGUGGCCCAAUUUGUUCCAUGUUUAAGUACCUGAGUCUCAUCCUACAUGGAGAUUAAGUGUAAAGACAGUUCUUUGUUUUUUAAUUAAAAAAAAUAUUUAUUUAUUUUUGAGAGACAGAGAAACAGAGCACACGUGGGGAGGGGCAGGGAGAGAAGGAGACAGAAUCCAAAGCAAGUUCCAGGCUCUGAGCUGUCAGCGCAGAGCCCGAUGUGGGGCUCAAACUCACAGACCGUGAGAUCAUGACCUGAGCUGAAGUCGGACACUUAACCGACUGAGCCACCCAGGCGCCCCUAAAGACAGUUCUUGAAGAAAGAUCAUGUACAGUUGAAAUUAUUCUUGAGAUAUCCAUGUGUGUUAUCCUCUACAACUCUUGAACAUGUAUCAAUCAGCUAUUGCUUCAUAACGAGCCAUCUCCAAUCUCAGUAGUAUAAAACAACCAUCAUUUAUUUUCAUGUAUACUUCUGUAGGUUGACUGAUCUAGGUUGGGCUCAGUGGGGCUUGCCUGGGCGUGGCUCCAAGCUGUAGACUAGGUCAAGAUCUGCUCUAGGUGUCUCUCAUCUUUAGAUUAGCAGCCUAGCCAGGCCAUGUUCUCUGGGAUUGCAGAAGCACAAGAGGGCAAGAUUAACCAUGCAAGGUCAACAUUGCAAGCCUCUGCUUGUGUCAAAACUGCUAACAUCCCACUGGGAAAAGCAAAUCACAUACGUGGUCAAGUCUAUUGUCAGUGGGUGGGGGAAACCAUGCACUGCUCUCCACCAAGCUAAAGAAGUAGAAUGAACAAGCCCACCAGUCUCCAACAUAAAAAACCCACUCCUUCUAUGGAGGUGGCAUGGGGGAAAGACUGAAAUGUUUUUACACAAUUUGAUUUACCACAAAGUGAUUUUUUUGUAAAAAAUCAGUUACAUUUAUGCAUUAGUCAGUUUGUGGCACCCAGUCCUUCUGUUUCUUAUUUAAGGAUGUCAAGAAAUCCAUCACCAACCACUUCACUUGUCCAGCUAGUUGCACAUUGCAUUUUACUUCUUUAUUAAUGGUUUGGAACCCAUGAAAUAAUCUAUAUAGUAUUUCCAUAUGAAUUGGUCAAAGUACAUUGGCUAUUGCAGCUGGAUGGCAGGCAUGGCCUGAGUCACAGGUGCAUUGAGCGAUUGGUGGGCAGAACCACUUUCACGCUUUAAAUCCCUCUCCCACUAUCUAUGACACUGACGUUGUCUGCCUACCAGCUGUUCCCCUUAUUUGAGCAGUGAUGCAGGUAAGAUAGGUGCCCGGCCUCUGUAGUGGACACUGUGGCAUGCUGCCCAGAUCCUCCGCUCUAAUACUGAGGCACUCAUUCCCCCAUCUGCUGGGAGAAUUGGCCGCUGACAGUACUCAACUGAGUCCCUCUUGGGGACUUGCCCUUGGCUGAAGAGCGCAACCCCAGCCCGAGUACUGCAUCCAAUGACUGUAUGAAGUGGGAGCCCCAAGGUCCAGCCUCCCUGCCAUCCCGCCUCUUUACUCCUCCCCACUCCCCGCAGGGUGGGCGUCAGCUGAGACCUCUGAUGAGGCUGCAUUGCAGUUUGACUUUUCCCUUCCACCUGUCACCUUGAGAGCACACUGCAGGAAACUUGCAGCAUGCACGUCUCCCCGUUGGGGUCUUAAUUCCUGAGGAACCAAAACCACAAGGCUCCUAAGUCACACAGAGCUGGGUUCGAGUGUUAUCUCAAAUACCCACUAGCUAUGUGGCUUUAGACUUCGUGAAUCUGCUGUAAACCUCUGAAAGUCUCAGGUUUUUCAUCUCUAAAGAUGCAAUAAUAAUAGUAUCUGCCUCUUCUAAUGAUAGUAGAGGAUGAAGAGAAAUAAUGCAUGGAAAGCAGUGUGAAACCCUUAGCACGCUACCUGGCCCAUACUAGGUUUUGCCGAAAUGUAUUCUUCCCUUUUUACUCAGCCCUUUGUGGGCGUUUCCAGAAGCCGGCGUCCCCAUACCUGAGUAAAGCGGAAACGGACCUGUUGUGCUAUCUUGUUUCCAGCAGAUGGCGCCAGCGGAUAAGGCUGCAGUCUCGUCCAGCUUGGUUACAAGGUCCACCAUUGACAGAUUAUAUACAUCAGUUUUCCAUGCAUUAUCUCAUUUGAUUCUCCUUCAUCAACCAUUUACCAAGUGCUGACUGUUCUAUCAUUUAUUCUUUCAUCUCUUUGUCUUAAAUGCUUCCUGAGCACUUACUCCAGCCAAAGAGUGGCUUUAAAUCUCUUCUAAAACAUCAUGAUGACUAAGAAGCAAACAAGACAGAGAGGGAGAGAGAGAGAGAGAGAGAGAGAGAGAGAGAGAGAGAGAGAGAGUGGGACAGAGAGAGAGGCAGGCAGGAAGGAAGAAAAAUACGAUUCUGGAUUUUGAAAUUAAAAGUUUUAGGCACUACUAUUGGGCUUGUGCCAACUCGUUCGGAAAGGAGGCAGCUUUAAUAAAGCGGAAGAAGUACAUAAUACGACUGAACAGAAUUAGGAGGCAGUGGUCCCUCUGCAGGAGCAGCUGAGGUGCUUCUAGAGGCCGUCUGCAGGCCUUCCCCAGAGCUAUCGAUCUGAGGGCAGAACAACUGGUCCCUGGGCUGGUUAAAAUUGCCGUGUAGGAGAAAGAAGAAAGAAUCCAUAAAGGAGGUGUCAAAGUGCUUGGGAGGAGACAGUUAGCUGGCCUGGAGUCAGGAGCCCCAGACCGGAGUCAUUUUGCAGGUCUUCUGGUCAUGCCAGGAGGCACGCCUGGAAGCCACCAGCCCAGGACCCGGGAGAAGUCCGAUUCUGUGGUUGGGACAGAGGCUGCCCACCUCAAGUCUUCUUGCACCUGCUCCAGAACCGUGAGUGAAUGAAUGUGCUUUCCUGAAGGUCACCACACAGGGUUGUUGUUUGAGGAAAUGUAUAUACAGUGCCUGGUACGUGGGAAGCUCUCAAUAAACGAUAACUAUUUAUUACUGAUAAAAAUACUACCACUACCGAUCAAUGGUUCUUACGAUCUUCUCUGAUGUAAUUGCUAAGAGCAAGGUUUUGUGAGAAAUACCCAAUGAACCUACAGAGAAGUUUUAAUUAUUUGGGGAUUCCGAGAGGAUCCAGGACUCUGAAGGUAAAGAGACAGAACACCAAGUUAGGGAAAGGGACACACAGAUGGACUCAGUAAAAUUUGUUGAAUGGGUGGCUCAGGGGGAUUCUCUUCUAACAGCAAGAGUUUCAUUCAUGGUUCCCUACUCUGAGCCAGGCACUGUGCUUGCUGUUGGAGCGACAGAGAUGAACAAACAUCUUGUUUGUUUUCUUUUUUAUUUAAAAAAAAUAUUUAUUUUUGAGAGGGAGAAAGCAGGAGAGCAACAGAGAGAGAAGGAGACACAGGAUCCGAAGCAGGCUCUAGGCUCCGAGCCGUCAGCGCAGAGCCCGAUGCGGGGUUCGAACUCACAAUCAGUGAGUUCAUGACCUGAGCUGAAGUCGGACGCUCAACCGACUGAGCCAUCCAGGCACCCCCCCCCAUCUUGUUUGUUUUCAAGGAGCUCCUGGUACAAGGGUGGAAAGCCAAGGUACCUACAGGGUCUAGUCUGGUGACAUAAAUGAGGGAAGUGGACCAGGUGUGAAUAAGGAACAUGGGUAAGAGAAAUAUUUUAUUUUCUUCUUCCACUGUAAAACAACAACAACAAAAAAAAAACAACCCACAAUAUUGCAAGAGUUAUGACAAAUGGCUCUGAGAUGAGGCUUAAAUGCAGAGACAAUAGAGCAUGGUGGGGACUGUGGAGAAAUAAACAGUGCUCUAUCCGAAGGGGGCCACUACCACAAAGGUGGAGAACUGCACCCGUCUUACUGGAUUUCCAGUUUGUUCAAGAGAAGCCAGAAACUGGAAAAGAAAAAUUUUUUUUGCGCAAUCUCUUAAUUUUUAAUUUUUGGCAAUGAAUGCAAAAAAAUUUUUUAAAAACACCAUGUGGGCCCAAAAAAGUACAGGCCAAGCAAGUAAAACAUAAUUCUCUCUGAAUGCCAGAUCUGAGUCUGAGGGUCCAGUGUGUGAUCUCCAGUCCAAUUGGAAAGACAGAUGGGAGUUUGGGCGAUUUCGACACAGCUUGAUAAGUGUUAAGAUGCCAAGAUGUGAUGUGAUGGGUACACAGAAGAAGAGCUGGCAGGGUGGUCUUUGAGGAGGAGAGGACGCCUGACCUGAGUCCUAGAGGAAGGGCCCAACUAGCCAGGGAACUGGGGUUGGGCGAGCCAGUCAGAGGGAAUGGCAUAGGGGAGUGCAGUGGUCAGGAGCCCAGCAGAGCGGCAAAGCUCAGGGCUCAGGUGUCACAUGUGGGUAGGGAGCAGGAAGAGAUAAUCGGGAGGUGGGCAGGACUAGAUGGGAGAGUGGCUUUGACCGCAUCGUCUGUAUUUAAUGAUUUCUUAAUUUUCUCUCAUUGUAAUUUCUGCUGUUUUUAAUAGAAAACCAGGAGUUGUGUCUGUGCCCCCAAAACAGCCAUUGCCUCUGAUAAGAAGCUUUUUCAGCUCUCAAAGUUGACACCCCCCCCCCCUUUCUCCUUUCCCCACUUUGGCUCAUCCUUGUCUGUACUCACUCUGACCCCUCCAGUAUUAAAGAAAAUAAAUACUUUUGACCUUUGUCAGAACACCUUGGACUUGCCAGCACAAAAAGAAACAAUUUGCACUGGAGGAAAUGAUCCCUUUCCUCCCAAAGGGCUCUUUCUCUAUGUCCAGGGCCAAAUGCAGUUCUGAUUCAGAGACCACAGGGGUGGCCAGCAGGGCCUGGGGUUGGAAGACAGGAGGCCGUUCUAGUCCUGGUCCUGGGGACUGACUCCUCGUGUAGCUGCAGAUAAGACCAGGCCACCCGUGCCCAACCUGCAGAAGCAGGUGGUUUGGAUGGUCUCCCAGAACCUUCUUCAUCAAGGCUCAGGGCUCAAAUCUCUUGCACACAGAGUCAGUCUGGACCUGAUGUCCGUGAUGUGUCGCCAUGUAACCAGCAUGUGCUACGUGUCAGGCACUAUGCCCGCCUCUUGCCAUACGUGAUUUCAUGUAGUCCUCAUAAAAGCUUACCCCACUUUAUAGAAAAGGGACCUGAAGUCUAGGAGAGUUGCCCAAUGGUGAACUGGGAUGUACAACCUCCAAAACUAUGUUAUUUGAAACAAAAUGUAGUUCAUUCUGAUGGUGAGUUCUAUGUGUCAACCUGGCUGGGCUAAGGGAUGCCCAGAGAGCUGGUAAAUGUUAUUUCUGGGUAUGUCUGCGAGGGUGUAUUUGGAAAUGAUUAGCAUCUGAAUCAGUAGACUGAGUAAAGAUCACCAAUGUUGGGAGGGAGGGGCAGGGAUCGCUCAAUCUGUUGAUGGCGAAUUUGCUCUUUCUGCCUGAGCUGGGACAUCCAUGUUCUCCUGCCCUUGGACACUGGCACUUCUGGUUCUCAGGUCUUUACACUCAGACUGUCUGCUGCCUGGGUUCUCGGGCCUUUGGACUGGACUGGAAUGUUCCAGCACUGGCUUUCCUGGUUCUCCAGCCUACAGACAUGAGAUGGUGUGUGAGCCAAUUCCUGCGAUAAAUCUCUCUCUUUGUCUUGUAUACACACAUGUACAUAUACACAUAUCCAUAUCUAUCUGUAAACAUCUAUCACCCAUUGGUUCAGUUUCUCUGGAGAGCCCUGCUAAUACGUUCAUAUACAUAGUCACAUACCAAACAGCACAGGAGAGUUUCUCAUGAAAAGCAAACUCUCAUGCCCAUUGCCCAACUCCGUUGGGGCAAUCUCUUUUAAUCACUUUGAUUUUCAGGUGAUUAUGUCCCUAAAUAUAAACAAUAGCUAGACAAUGUUUAUUGUCUGUAAAGUUUACUUCUACUCUGUGCUUUCUCCAACUGUUGAUUAUUUAUAUAUUUAUUGGUAUUUCUCAUUUCUCCUCAUAAAUUCAAUAAACAGCACCCCUAUUUUCUUAUUCUAUCACAUGGACAAUCCCUUUUGACAACUCACUUUCUCUCUCUCUCUCUCUCUUUGAUUCAGAUUCAAGUUAACGUACAGUGUAGUAUUGGUUUCAGGGGUAGAAUUUAGUGAUUCAUCACUUACAUACAACACCCAGUGUUCAUCCCAGCAAGUGCCCUCCUUAAUGCCCAUCACCCAUUUAGUCUGUCCCCCCACCCACCACCCUUCCAGCAACCCUAAGUUUGUUCUCUAUAUUUAAGAGUCUCUUAGGGGUGGCUCGGUGGCUCAGUCGGUUAAGCGUCUGACUCGUGGUUUCAGUUCAGGACAUGAUCCCACAAUUUCUUGGAUUCGAACCCUGCAUCAGGCUCCACACUGACAGUGCAGAGCCUAUUUGGGAUUCUCUCUCUCUCUCUCUCUCUCUCUCUCUCCCCCUCUGCCCCUCCUCUACUCGUGCUCUCUGUCUCUCUCAAAAUAAAUAAAUAAAAUAAAGUCUCUUGCGGCGCCUGGGUGGCUCAGUCAGUUGAGCCUCCCAACUUUGGCUCGGUUCAUGAUCUCGCGGUUUGUGGGUUCAAGUCCCACGUUGGGCUCUGUGCUGACAGCUCAGAGCCUGGAGCCUGCUUUGAAUUCUGUGUCUUCCUCUCUCUCUGUUAUUUCCCUGCUCACACACACUCUCUCUGUCUCUGUCUCUGUCUCUCUCAAAAAUAAAUAAACAUUAAAUUUUUUUUUUAAGUCUCAUGGUUUGCCUCCCUCUCUGUUUUUAUCUUAUUUUUCCUUCUCUUCCCCUAUGUUCAUAAGUUUUGUUUCUUAAAUUCCACAUACGAGUGAAAUCAUAUAUUUGUCUUUCUCUGAUUGACUUAUUGUGCUUAGCAUAAUACAUUCUAGUUCCAUCCACAUUGUUGCAAAUGGCAAGAUUUCAUUCUUUUUGAUUGCUGAGUAUUAUUCCCAUGUGUGUGUGUGUGUGUACAUAUAUAUACCACAUCAUCUUUAUCCAUUCAUUCGUCGAGGGACAUUUGGGCUCUUUCCAUACUUUGGCUAUUGUUGAUAGUGCCGCCAUAAACACUGGGGUGCAUGUGCCCCUUCGAAUCAGUGUUUUUGUAUCUUUUGGAUAAAUACCUAGUAGUGCAAUUGCUGGGUCAUAGGGUAGUUCUAUUUGUAACUUUUUGAGGAACCUCCAUACUGUUUUCCAGAGUUGACAUUUCACUUUCUAAGAUGAAGGCAUGAGCAGUAUUUUUCCCGCCAUCUUUCCUCCCUGCUUCUGUUUUCCAUCUUUUGUCAGCCUGGCUGAUUUCAAAAGUCCCCCACCGCGUUUAGUUGUGUGUAGCCAUGUGACUGGUGCUGGCCAAUGGGUUGUGGGAGGGAGUGACCUUUGUUAGCCUAGGCUGGAGCAUUUAAUGACUGUGAGUUUCUCACCCCGUACACAGACACGCAUGCUCUCCUGCCCACUGCCACACCUGUCAUGUGGAAGAGUCUCCGUUAGCCUGAGUCCUGGGAGAGCAGAGCACCCCCACCAGGAUACAGUCAACGUGUAGUGUGAGUGAGAUGGGAGUCUUCAUUGUCCUAAGCCUCUGAGAGUUUGGUGGUUAUUUGCUUUGUCAGCAGAGGCAGGCAUAUCCUAACUUAUGCCCAAAUAUAACACAAUAUAACGUUAUUAUAUUCUUUCCUGCAAAUAUAGCCAUGAUGCUAAUGUAUUCUCCAUACUUUAACAAAGAUUUUUUUUUUUAAAAAAGACAAACUUUCUCUGUCCUCACAAGUCUGAAAAUGUCUUUAUUUACUCUCCUACUUGAUUCCAUUUGGCUGGGAAUAGAAUUGUAGGUUAAAAGUCUCUUUCAGAACUUUCAAAUACUGCAUUAUGGGCAUCUGGCUUUUGACUUCUUUAAAAAAAAUUUUUUUUAAUGUUUUUAUUUUAUUUUUGAGAGAGACAGAGCAUGAGCAGGGAAGGGGCAGAGAGAGAGAGGGAGACACAGAACCCGAAGCAGGCUCCAAGCUCUGAGCUGCCAGCACAGAUCCCAACGUGGGGUUCGAACUUAUGAACCAUGAGAUCGUGACCUGAGCCAAAGUCGGAUGCUUAAUCAACUGAGCCACCCAGGCGCCCCCAUAAUUCCUUUGUUUUUGAAACCCUGUAUAAAUGGAGCAACUCAUCUGUCCUCUUGUUCCGGUUCAGUUUCCUCUGCUAUAAAUCGGGAGUGAUGACACAAGCGAAAGAGCGUGCUAGAUUACAGGCACCUAGGACGUGUUUGUUAAGUCUGCACGGCCCAUUGUGGCCCAAAUCACUCUCACGUAUUUAUCUUACCUCUUGUAGGAUAGGGCACAAAAAUAGGUAAUAUAGUCAAUUAAGCGGACAACUCAUGGUCAUGGGAUCUGAUGUCAGGCAGACUGGGAGGUGAAAAGCCACUACAUAGGAAGAGGGACGUUUUUUCCAGACACCGUAUUUGACAACGAAUGAGAAUUCCUGUCGUUACACGUCCUCACCAACAUCUGGUGUUGUCAAUAUUCUGGAGUUUGGCCCUUCUCAGGAUUAAGUGGUGGUGUCUCAUUGCAUUUAUUUUGCAUUUCCCUAGUGAUGUAUGAUGUGGAACAUAUUUUCACAUGCUUAUUUGCCAUGUAUAUAUCAUCUUUAUCUUUUUAAGAGAGAGAGAGAGUGCAAGCAGAAGAGAGAGGCAGAAAGAGAGAAUCUCCAGCAGGUCCCAUGCUCAGCACAGAGCCCGACACAAGGCUCAAUCCCACAACCCUGGGAUCAUGACCUGAGCCAAAAUCAAGAGUCAGAUGCUCAGCUGACUGAACCACCCAGACGCCCCCUAUAUAUCAUCUUUGGUGAGGUGUCUGGUAGGGUCUUUGAUUUCUUUCUUAAUCGGAUUGGUUUUCUUAUUGCUCAGUUUUAAGAGUUCUUUGCGUAUCUUGGCUCCUGGUCUUUAUCAAGUAUGUCUUUUGCAAAUAUUUUCUCCUAACCUGUUACUUGCCUUCUCACACUCUUCGCAUUGUCUUUUGCAGAGCAGAAGUUUUAAAUUUUAAUGACGUCCAGCUAAUCAAUGAUUUACUUCAUGAAUUGUGCCAUUGGUGUUCUAUCUAAAAGGCAUCAUCCCUCUCUCCCUCAAAAUAAAGAAAUAAACAUUAAAAAAUAAUGCCUGGGUGGCUUAGUGGGUUAAGCAUCUGACUUUUUAUUUCGGAUCAGGUCAUAAUCUCAUGGUUGGUGGGAUUGAGCCCUGUGUCAGGCUCUGAACUGACAGCUCAGAGCCUGCUUGGGAUUUUCUCUCUCUCUCUCUCUCUCUCUUUCUGCUCCUCCCCCUCUUAUGCACAGACUCUCUCUCUCUCUCUCUCAAAAUAAAUAAAUAAACAGUUAAAAAGCCAUCACCAGGGGUGCCUGGGUGACUCAGUCAGUUGAGCACUGAUUUCGGCUCAGGUCGUGAUCUCACGGUUUGUGAGUUUGAGCCCCACAUCAGGCUCACGAUUGUCAGAGCAAAGCCCGCUUCAGAUCCUCUGUCCCCCCCCUCUCUCUGCCCGUCUCCUGCACGUGCUCUCUCUCUAUCAAAAAUAAAUAAAUGUUUUUUAAAAAGCCAUCACCAGACCCAAGGUUUUCUCCUGUUAUCUUCCAGGAGUUUGGGAUACAUAUACUUUUAAUUUAACCUGUGCCUGUUGCCCCAUCCACUUGGUUUCUGACAAUGCCCUUGGCACAUUGUCCUCUUAUGGUCUGGGAAAUGUUAGCAUUCGGCAACCUUCUCUCCUUUAUCUUGCUGGGAAGGCAAUUUCAGCCCUGCAUUUAAAACCUCCCACUACUUAUGUCUACCAGAUUACCUCCCCUCUCCUUACAAGUCUUCUUAUCAAAUGCAAUUGAGACUUCCACUUCUGUAACCAAGAUUUGUUUGAUUCUACACAGGCUUAGAAGCUGAUGUCUUCUCUCCGAGGUGGAAUUACAUUUACCAAGCUCAUGGGACUGAUGUGGAAAAUCGGAACGUCAGUGAAUUCACUGAUAACAAGAAAUAUAAUUGCUGAGAAGACUGGAAUACUCUCAUCAGUGUGACCAGCACAUUCUUUCCCGGAGGCAGAUCUAAGUGAAAAGCCAAAUUAUACAAAGAAGGUGGCUUGGUGAGCAUUUGAUCAUUGAGUUCUAUUGAUGAAGAGCCUAAUGCAGGUCUCCACUGAAUGUCAAUGUCAAACAUUGUACUGGACACUAGGUGGAGAAUGGUGAAUAAGAGAGAUGGGUCUCCGUGCUCACAGGUUCUAAGGCACUGGGGGAAGACAGGCCCUGAACAGGUAAUGAGACUUCUAGGUUAGAAAAACUACACCCCUUACCCUCUGCUUCCUCCCCGAACCUACGAAAAUAACAGUACAGGAAUUGUUCUGAAAAGGCAAAACGUAAAGACAGAGGUCUGCAAACCAUGGUCCACAGGCCAAAUCUAGCCUGCUGCCUGUUUCGGGACAGCCUGUCCUAAGAAUAGUCCUAUAUUUGCAAAUGGCUGGAAAAAAAUCAAAACCAGAAUAACAUUCUGUGACACGUGAAAAUGAUAUGAAAGUCAGAUUUCAGAGUGCAUAAAUAAAGUUUGGUGGGAACGCG